UUUAAUGAUGAUACACUGUCUCAUGCACCACUCUCAGACAUUUAUUUGUCAGUGAAGAGGAACAGACCCUUUAUUUCUGAAA
rnacentral:snoRNA from 1 species